UUAAAUGGAUAACCGUGGUAAUUCUGAGGCUAAUACAUGAACGUACCCCCUGAUCAACUGGGUAACCGGGAGGUUGGGGACAGUGCGGUCAGUCGCAGAUAUUGCUGGGAAUAGACGCACUUUCAAACCACCAUACCAAACGGUUGGGGUGCUGACCUUCGGGGAGGCGCCCUUUCUGGGUGGGCCUUGCUUUGUGCUUCUGACCUAUCAACUAG
rnacentral:rRNA from 1 species